rnacentral:sRNA from 1 species
GGGAUGGAAGCGGCAUCCUUUUGCGGCGUUUACAAAGCAAAAGAUAGAGCGGACAGCCCG